UCGAAUACUCCUCCCUUUCGGAGUCGCAGAGCCGCCCCCUUUGCAGCACCCAAUUCCAUGGUGAUCGCUUCUGGAGAAGAGGAGGACCGCCUCGACGAAACGUUGGAGCCGCGGAAGGAGGAGCACCGCUUCGGUUCUUCGCGUCCGCCAAAGCAGCCGCCCCCGCCGCGACUCUCCCGGUCGAGACUGCAUAACUUCACCUUCCCCACCGGCAGCUGGGGUUCCCAUCGCAUCCUCCGCUGCUGUAACCUCCCGCCCGGCGACGCAUCCGGAUCGGUGAAUCCCGCGGCGGUAAGCCGGCCGCCAUCCCCUUCGGAGAUAUUCACCUCCCCGCCGAAGCGGUCCACUGGUUUCAAGGGCUCCAAGGACGGAAAGGGGGGAGGAUGGGAGGAAUCGGAGGCGGAGAGAUCUAUUUCUGCGGCUGUGGCGGCGGCGGAGGCGGCGGGAGCCGCGAGGCCUUGGAAUCUGAGGACCCGGAGGGCGGCCUGUAAUGCGCCGUCCGAGAACGGGCAGUACCAGCACCCUCUCUCGGCUUUCCGGUCUCCGUCGCCUUUGGCCGCCGAGAAAAACUGCCCGGUGACGGAGAUGAUGAAGAGGAGAUCAGAUGGUUCGGAGAAGCGGGAACGCCGGAAAUUCUCGAUCUCGCUGUCGCGCGAGGAGAUUGAACAUGACUUUUGGGUUAUGAAGGGGACGAAGCCCCCUCGGAGGCCAAAGAAGAGGCCUAGAAUCGUCCAGCGACAGCUCGAUUCGCUUUUCCCUGGUUUAUGGUUAUCGGAGGUGACUCCAGAAACAUACAAAGUUGAUGAUUAAGAAGUUUAGGAGUUUGCAGAGGAAGGGAGCAUUAAUGGUGUUUAGAUGCUGAUUAUUGCUGUAAUCCUGUAACGUGAAAAUAAGGGGUAGUGACCACAACAUAAAUGUUGGGGUGUAAUUGCUGUAUCCUCUGAAGGAAUGGCGGGUUAAAGCGAAUCCUUCACUCACCCUUAGCAUUAUUAAAAUAGUGAAGAGAGAAGAGAAUUUACAUGCAGAGCAAGAAAGAGAGCCACAACAAACCAAAUCAAGGGAAGAAACUACAGAAAGCAUCAGAUGGAGAGGAAGAGAAAUGAAGAGAGGCCUUCCCAGGCCAUAUUUAAUGUGUCCUUUGAGAUUAGGCUAUGUUAAACACCAUCGAGUUCUUGUGAUUUGUAUGUUGGUAAUUGGUUUGUUUAAAAGCAUAUGAUUAGCGGUUUAUGAUUAUAGAUAUAUUUGGUCUUUUUCCUAAAAAAUUAAGUUGUUCA